AACCCAGGCCUAGUCGGAGUCCACGUUCUGUGAGCCUCCCUCAGCGGCCCAGGGCCCACCACCAGGAAAAUUUUCCCCAAAGGGUACUGGUGCCCAGCACUGUGCCAGAUUACUUGGAGCACCACGUCUUGAGGACAUCACGGACCCUGCACCGCCGUGUCCUGAGGCUGUGCCUGUACUGAGAAGGUGUAUAAGGACAAGACUGACGCGGAGCAGCUGGUGACGCUUCCUCCUGAAGGAGCCCCGCAGAGACAGUGGCUGCUGAGCCCCUGGGAGAGCAGUGGAUGGCA